GAGCGCUCGUAGCAAUACGAGAGCGGCAGACGGGAGAGUACACGUGGGAACGUACCCUUCGGUUCGGAAUAACCCAGGGAAACUUGGGCUAAUACCGGAUACGUCCGUAAGGAGAAAGAUUUAUCGCUGAAGGAUCGGCCCGCGUCUGAUUAGCUAGUUGGUGGGGUAACGGCCCACCAAGGCGACGAUCAGUAGCUGGUCUGAGAGGAUGAUCAGCCUCACUGGGACUGAGACACGGCCCAGACUCCUACGGGAGGCAGCAGUGGGGAAUUUUGCGCAAUGGGGGAAACCCUGACGCAGCAACGCCGCGUGGAGGAUGAAGUCCUUCGGGACGUAAACUCCUUUCGAUCGGGACGAUUAUGACGGUACCGGAAGAAGAAGCCCCGGCUAACUUCGUG
rnacentral:rRNA from 1 species